GWUGAGUUUCMGAGAUGGGAYGUGCCUUCGGGAACUGUGAGACAGGUGCUGCAUGGCUGUCGUCAGCUCSUGUUGUGAAAUGUUGGGUUAAGUCCCGCAACGAGCGCAACCCUUAUCCUUUGUUGCCAGCGGUCCGGCCGGGAACUCAAAGGAGACUGCCAGUGAUAAACUGGAGGAAGGUGGGGAUGACGUCAAGUCAUCAUGGCCCUUACGACCAGGGCUACACACGUGCUACAAUGGCGCAUACAAAGAGAAGCGACCUCGCGAGAGCAAGCGGACCUCAUAAAGUGCGUCGUAGUCCGGAUUGGAGUCUGCAACUCGACUCCAUGAAGUCGGAAUCGCUAGUAAUCGUGGAUCAGAAUGCCACGGUGAAUACGUUCCCGGGUCUUGUACACACCGA
rnacentral:rRNA from 2 species